GGGUGUUGCGGCAGGCCUAACACAUGCAAGUCGAGCGGUAGAGAGAAGCUUGCUUCUCUUGAGAGCGGCGGACGGGUGAGUAAUGCCUAGGAAUCUGCCUGGUAGUGGGGGAUAACGCUCGGAAACGGACGCUAAUACCGCAUACGUCCUACGGGAGAAAGCAGGGGACCUUCGGGCCUUGCGCUAUCAGAUGAGCCUAGGUCGGAUUAGCUAGUUGGUGAGGUAAUGGCUCACCAAGGCGACGAUCCGUAACUGGUCUGAGAGGAUGAUCAGUCACACUGGAACUGAGACACGGUCCAGACUCCUACGGGAGGCAGCAGUGGGGAAUAUUGGACAAUGGGCGAAAGCCUGAUCCAGCCAUGCCGCGUGUGUGAAGAAGGUCUUCGGAUUGUAAAGCACUUUAAGUUGGGAGGAAGGGCAUUAACCUAAUACGUUGGUGUCUUGACGUUACCGACAGAAUAAGCACCGGCUAACUCUGUGCCAGCAGCCGCGGUAAUACAGAGGGUGCAAGCGUUAAUCGGAAUUACUGGGCGUAAAGCGCGCGUAGGUGGUUCGUUAAGUUGGAUGUGAAAUCCCCGGGCUCAACCUGGGAACUGCAUU
rnacentral:rRNA from 1 species